rnacentral:lncRNA from 1 species
CAAAAUGCAGGUACUCAGUUGAACUUGGAUAGUUAAAUGAAAUUGAAAACUCUCUUGAAACACUGACUUUAAUCUUAUUCUGCUGGCCAGAGAGGUCAUGUUUUCAGACUGAUUGGCUUGCCCUGAAUCAUGGAAGAAGACUGAAGGAAUUCGAUGCAGAUCGACAGGGAGCAAGAAACAAGGGCAGAUAAAGCAGAUCUUUUACAGUUAUUCUCCAUGGGGCCAUUUCAGUGCCAUCAGAACCCCUACUCAGGAAAGAACAUGCUUCUGUCUGUCGCUACCUGGGAACACACAUUAGCACAUUCUACAUCUUAAAUGUGGGCUUAAGUCCCAUUGUACAGAAGCCAUACAGAUAUAUCUCUCUCUAUAUAUAUCUAUAUAGAUAUAUAGAUAUAUAUAGAUAUGUGCUUAAACACAGGUAAGUUUUACUGAAUGGGAACCUAUGUGGGUUUGGCAAUCUACAAGAACAAAGCAGGGACUUAAAUGGCAAGUUGCUUAGGAAUUCAACCUGCUAAAAAAUGGACCAUAUUUAUUUUAAAAAUGGAAUUUCAUGAAAUUCAAAGG